GACGAACGCUGGCGGCGUGCCUAAUACAUGCAAGUCGAGCGGAUCUUCAUUAGCUUGCUUUUGAAGAUCAGCGGCGGACGGGUGAGUAACACGUGGGCAACCUGCCUGUAAGACUGGGAUGACUCCGGGAAACCGGAGCUAAUACCGGAUAAUCCUUUUCCUCUCAGGAGGAAAAGCUGAAAGGCGGUUUCAGCUGUCACUUACAGAUGGGCCCGGGGCGAAUUAGCUAGUUGGUGAGGUAACGGCUCACCAAGGCGACGAUGCGUAGCCGACCUGAGAGGGUGAUCGGCCACACUGGGACUGAGACACGGCCCAGACUCCUACGGGAGGCAGCAGUAGGGAAUCUUCCGAAAUGGACGAAAGUCUGACGGAGCAACGCCGCGUGAGCGAUGAAGGCCUUCGGGUCGUAAAGCUCUGUUGUCAGGGAAGAACAAGUAUCGGAGUAACUGCCGGUACCUUGACGGUACCUGACCAGAAAGCCACGGCUAACUACGUGCCAGCCGCCGCCGUAA
rnacentral:rRNA from 1 species